rnacentral:rRNA from 1 species
AGAGUUUGAUCCUGGCUCAGGAUAAACGCUGGCGGCGUGCAUGAGACAUGCAAGUCGAACAGACGAUUCGGGCUUGCUCGAAUCGUUAGUGGCGGACGGCUGAGUAACGCGUAGGUGACCUGCCCCGAAGUGGGGAAUAACUGCCCGAAAGGGUGGCUAAUACCGCAUGUGGUCGCACGUUCGGUCGUGCGAGUAAAGCCGCAAGGCGCUUCGGGAGGGGCCUGCGUCCGAUUAGCUCGUUGGUGGGGUAAUGGCUCACCAAGGCGACGAUCGGUAGGUGGUCUGAGAGGACGAUCACCCAGACUGGGACUGAGACACGGCCCAGACUCCUACGGGAGGCAGCAGUCGGGAAUUUUGCUCAAUGGGCGAAAGCCUGAAGCAGCAACGCCGCGUGAGGGAUGAAGGCCUUCGGGUCGUAAACCUCUUUUGCCGGGGACGAUAAUGACGGUACCCGGUGAAUAAGCCACGGCUAACUACGUGCCAGCAGCCGCGGUAAUACGUAGGUGGCAAGCGUUGUCCGGAUUUACUGGGCGUAAAGAGCGCGCAGGCGGUCGUAUAAGUCGAAUGUGAAAGCCCCUGGCUCAACUAGGGAGAGUCAUUCGAUACUGUUCGACUCGAAGGCAGGAGAGGGAAGUGGAAUUCCGGGUGUAGUGGUGAAAUGCGUAGAUAUCCGGAGGAACACCAGUGGCGAAGGCGACUUUCUGGCCUGUUUCUUGACGCUGAGGCGCGAAAGCUAGGGGAGCAAACGGGAUUAGAUACCCCAGUAGUCC